rnacentral:rRNA from 1 species
UACGAAGGGGGCUAGCGUUGUUCGGAAUCACUGGGCGUAAAGGGCGCGUAGGCGGCUUUAUAAGUCGGGGGUGAAAGCCUGUGGCUCAACCACAAAAUUGCCUUCGAUACUGUAGAGCUUGAGACCGGAAGAGGUAAGUGGAACUGCGAGUGUAGAGGUGAAAUUCGUAGAUAUUCGGAAGAACACCAGUGGCGAAGGCGGCUCACUGGCCCGGUACUGACGCUGAGAUACGAAAGCUAGGGGAGCGAACGGG